rnacentral:rRNA from 1 species
GAUGAACGCUGGCGGCGUGCCUAAUACAUGCAAGUCGAGCGAACAGACGAGGAGCUUGCUCCUCUGACGUUAGCGGCGGACGGGUGAGUAACACGUGGAUAACCUACCUAUAAGACUGGGAUAACUUCGGGAAACCGGAGCUAAUACCGGAUAAUAUAUUGAACCGCAUGGUUCAAUAGUGAAAGACGGUUUUGCUGUCACUUAUAGAUGGAUCCGCGUCGCAUUAGCUAGUUGGUAAGGUAACGGCUUACCAAGGCAACGAUGCGUAGCCGACCUGAGAGGGUGAUCGGCCACACUGGAACUGAGACACGGUCCAGACUCCUACGGGAGGCAGCAGUAGGGAAUCUUCCGCAAUGCGCGAAAGCUUGACGGAGCAACGCCGCGUGAGUGAUGAAGGUCUUCGGAUCGUAAAACUCUGUUAUUAGGGAAGAACAAAUGUGUAAGUAACUAUGCACGUCUUGACGGUACCUAAUCAGAAAGCCACGGCUAACUACGUG